rnacentral:rRNA from 9 species
UGACCUCAAAUCAGGUA